rnacentral:misc_RNA from 1 species
GAUGAAGAACGUAGCGAAAUGCGAUACGUAAUGUGAAUUGCAGAAUUCAGUGAAUCAUCGAGUCUUUGAACGCACAUUGCGCCCCCUGGUAUUCCGGGGGGCAUGCCUGUCCGAGCGUCAUUAUAACCCCUCAAGCUCAGCUUGGUGUUGGGGCCUGCUGCACUGGCAGCCCUUAAAAUCAGUGGCGGCGCCAUCUGGCUCUAAGCGUAGUAAUUCUUCUCGCUAUGGAGUCCUGGUGGAUGCUUGCCAUCAACCCCCAAUUUUUCUAUGGUUGACCUCGGAUCAGGUAGGGAUACCCGCUGAACUUAAGCAUAUCAAUAAGCGGAGGA